CCUGCUCUUAGAAGUGUUCAGGUGUGGCUGCUGUGUCAUGUGUGCAUCAGAAGGAGGCAGAGAGGAGGAGGAGGAGGCUAUGUCUAGGUUCACUGUUCUGACCUGUGAAUGUUAGAAUGGUUAGUACCCUAACACU